rnacentral:tRNA from 1 species
CCGAGGGGUGUGUGUACACAAAGAACUGCUAAUUCCUUGCCCUAA